UACAGAGGUCUCAAGCGUUGUUCGGAUUCAUUGGGCGUAAAGGGCGCGUAGGCGGCGAGGUAAGUCGGGUGUGAAAUCUCAGAGCUCAACUCUGAAACUGCACUCGAUACUGCUUUGCUAGAGGACUGGAGAGGAGAUUGGAAUUCACGGUGUAGCAGUGAAAUGCGUAGAGAUCGUGAGGAAGACCAGUGGCGAAGGCGGAUCUCUGGACAGUUCCUGACGCUGAGGCGCGAAGGCCAGGGGGAGCAAACAGG
rnacentral:rRNA from 1 species